UCUUGUUAAAAUUUUAUGUUCUUGAGUAUUUUUGUUGUUUAAAGGUUGAAUAAAUACUCGGUGGCGAAACAAAUUCAGCAAAUAAUACAUUUCUAUAAUCGGCAAUUUUAUAUACAGCUUACAAACAAAUAUUCAAACCAACGUAGUUAUCUUUCUGACAGAAACAAAUGUCAUUCUAAUAUGACAUUAGUGAGAGUGCAAGUCACAACUUUUCAUUCCAACGUGAUUCCAACCCUAAAACAGUGAAUAAUAAUACAAUGAGCGUGAGUGUAUCAUGUUCGAGUGCAUCCGGAAGCGAAUCGUGGCGUGACACAGAUGGACACACACGAGAGGCUCCCUUGUGUACACUUCGUAUGCAUACAGCAUGUCCAUUAAUAUAACGGAAACGAAACGUUCCUGUAACACGAUCUCCACAUCCCCGGCCGCAGAAAAAAACCCAACCGAACAAAUAGUUGGAAAUUUGUUACGAAUUGACCAAACGUAUGUGCAGCACUUUUUUCUCAAUUGUGAUCACGUUGAUUAUCCCACGGUCAGCGUAUUUACCUAUUAAAUAAUAAGAUCACGUACGCCCGCAAAGGGUGCACCCUCCUGCAGCGCGUUUGUCUAAUUACCUUCCUGUUUGCGUUUCUCAUGCGGGAGUAAUUAUUUCACAUUAGAUCAACAUCAACAACAGCAGCCAGUAGUAGGUUUGCAGCCAGUACACUUAACUUGAAUCAACGCCAAAGUUAAUUCCGCGAUGGAAACAUUAUUACGGCAUUACGAAAUGUGCCAGCGAUAUAAUUAAUUUUGCAUCGGUGUGUGGAUGUUUUAGCUAAUCAUAAAUCAACAUAAUUAGCAGAACAACAUACAAAAUGGGUAAUGACUAAAGCAUAUUUCAUCAUAACGUGAUUACCUAGCCGGCAGCGCAGUGGAUGCAAACGCUGCACACGCUUUGUUUGCAUUGAGGUGCAAUUGUCCAAAAAAAGGAUUAUCGCUCAAAACGUACCGACAGCGGCCACACACGCUGAAAACUCGUUUUAAGAUGAUUUCAAACGAAAUAAAAAAUUGAUCAUUCAAGUAGGCCCUUAACAGAGCACGAGGACGACAACAAUCCAAAACGUAAA